ensembl:lncRNA
AUUGGUUGGUUUGGCCACAUUUAUAAUUAUAACGAUUGGAGCUCUUGACUGCACCCCAAAAUCCACUGCAAAAUCAUAAAACAUCUUUAAACAGCAAAUUAUUAUUAUUGCAUAUGAUUAGCCUUCUUGCUUGUCAAUCCCAAGGAAGUAGGAAGUAGCUAGUACGACUAUUAGGACAAGUGAAGGAGGCGUGGCCUCAAUGACUGUGAGGAUAAUUGAAGGAGGCGUGGCCUCAAUGGCUGUAAGGACAAGUGAAGGAGGAGCAGGGGCGCAGCUUGUGAACAGGCAAGGCAAGCAACUGCUUGGGGCUCCAGGCCGUUACUCCACAGCAAUGUCUCAAAAUGUGGCAACCGCAGUAUAUUGCAAUGACAUGACAGAUCGGAAACCCGAAAGGGGCCCCAUACCACCCCUUUUUGGUGGUAAUAUUUUCCGAAAACAACAUCAUUGAAGGAAAAUGAAGAGGACCUUUCUGUCAGGAAGUGAAAAAAGAAAGAGAAAAAAAGAGAAUGAGGAAAAAGAAAGAGAAUAAGACAGUGGUUUGCUCAUGAAGUGAGUUUUCUUGAUCUGUCCUUGUAACUUGAAGUCAAACAUCUGUUUAGUGCCUUGAGACCUGAAGCAAUGGUGUGUUCUGAGAGCACUGAUAUACAGGUAUGUUGUUUUCAUGGCUUAUAGUGUGCGUGUGUGUGUGUAGUU